rnacentral:lncRNA from 1 species
GACCCAGCUGCUUUCUCAUGGGAUAAUUGGCACAAAGACCCUCAAGGUCUUGAGGAGGGGGGAGGCUCUGGUGCUUGGAAUGCAGGUCAUACAGGGAUGAUCCCCCUUGGCAAGCACACAGCCCUAGUUCCUCUGCCUACUUAAGCAAGCUUCUCCCAGGGGGUGGUAGCGGGUGCACAUUGCUGUCCAGCUGGCUGCCGCUGGACCUUCCCUGUCAACGAUUAAGUUGGAGUCCUCUAGUCAACAGAGUUUAGAAAAAGUUUUGGUAGUGGAAGGACAAGUGUAUCCACAUGAGGAGCGGGGAGCUUUGUGGAAAAGGGAAGAAGAGAUGCAACUGUGGAGCAGAUGACAUUGGAGAAUAGACAAGCCCAAGAGGACUCACACCAAGAGAAAUUUUGAUAGCCAAAGGGCAACGUGAAGGCAUUGAAGUAACACGGAGAUUAAGAGAUGGUACUAGUAGCAUGCAGACGAAACAAAAAAUAAAAUUUGCUUUAAAAUUGGG